CACCGCCCGUCACACCAUGGGAGUCGAUUGCUCCAGAAGUGGCUGCGCCAACCCGCAAGGGAGGCAGGCCCCAAGGAGUGAUCGGUAACUGGGUG
rnacentral:rRNA from 1 species